rnacentral:lncRNA from 1 species
UGGCUUUGCCAGGGGCAGGGGCUGUUACUCACACCCGCUGGUCUGGGUUCAGAUCAGUUCUGUUCUCUGGUCUCCCAAGGCCCUUGAUUUAUAGGGUCCCCGCCGACGGAAGCUUUCCCCCUGUUAGCGGGUCUCCACUGAAUCAGCGGCAGGAGUCCUGGAUGAACCCCUGGUCGUGCAGCCCCUACCCCGCUCCUUCCCGACCCGUGCGGCAGCGAUCGCAGACUCUAGGGGAGGGGGCGAUGUUCUCUCCUACCCUUCCGGCGCCUCCGAAGGUGUAAGCAAGGUCUUCCAGAUUGGGGAUUUGUCUUCACCAAGCUGCUGGAGAGUCCUGCCUCUCAGGAAUUUUAAACAGCUUGAUUAUUUCUUUCUUGACUAAUGAGUCAGCAAGAAAUAUUAUCUUGAGGGUGUUCUCAGCAUAAGAUUACUACAGACAAUGGAAG